GCCGAAGUGGCGAAAUUGGUAUACGCACCUGCCUUAGGAGCAGGCGGAGCAAUCCAUGAGGGUUCGAGUCCCUCCUUCGGCA
rnacentral:tRNA from 1 species